CACUCCUGCGGGAGGCAGCAGUGGGGAAUAUUGCACAAUGGGCGCAAGCCUGAUGCAGCCAUGCCGCGUGUAUGAAGAAGGCCUUCGGGUUGUAAAGUACUUUCAGCGGGGAGGAAGGCAAUACGGUUAAUAACCGUGUUGAUUGACGUUACCCGCAGAAGAAGCACCGGCUAACUCCGUGCCAGCAGCCGCGGUAAUACGGAGGGUGCAAGCGUUAAUCGGAAUUACUGGGCGUAAAGCGCACGCAGGCGGUCUGUCAAGUCGGAUGUGAAAUCCCCGGGCUCAACCUGGGAACUGCAUUCGAAACUGGCAGGCUUGAGUCUUGUAGAGGGGGGUAGAAUUCCAGGUGUAGCGGUGAAAUGCGUAGAGAUCUGGAGGAAUACCGGUGGCGAAGGCGGCCCCCUGGACAAAGACUGACGCUCAGGUGCGAAAGCGUGGGGAGCAAACAGGAUUAGAAACCCCAGUAGUCC
rnacentral:rRNA from 1 species